rnacentral:tRNA from 10 species
GCUCCUGUGGUGUAGGGGUCUAGCAUUUCGGCCUUUCAAGCCGAAGACACGGGUUCAAAGCCCGUCAGGAGCA